GACGAACGCUGGCGGCGUGCCUAAUACAUGCAAGUCGAGCGAACAGACGAGGAGCUUGCUCCGUUGACGGUAGCGGCGGACGGGUGAGUAACACGUAGGUAACCUACCUAUCAGACUGGGAUCACUUCGGGAAACGGGAGCUAACCCCGGAGAAUAUCGCGAACCGUAUGGUUCGAUAGUGAAAGAGGGCUUUGCUAUCACUUAUAGAUGGAGCUGCGCCGUAUUAGCUAGUUGGUAAGGAAACGGCUUACCAAGGCAACGAUACGUAGCCGACCUGAGAGGGUGAUCGGCCACACUGGAACUGAGACACGGUCCAGACUCCUGCGGGAGGCAGCAGUAGAGAAUCUUACGCAAUGGGCGAAAACGUGACGGAUCGACGCCGCGUGAGUGAUGAAGGUCUUCGGAUCGUAAAGCUCUGUUAUUAGGGAAGAACAAACGUGUAAGUAACUGUGCACGUCUUGACGGUACCUAAUCAGAAAGCCACGGCUAACUACGUG
rnacentral:rRNA from 1 species